AAGGGUAUAGCUUAGUGGUAGAGUGCAUGCCUAGCAUGCAUGAGGUCCUGGGUUCAAUCCCCAGUCCCUCCU
rnacentral:tRNA from 1 species